GCCGUGAUCGUAUAGUGGUUAGUACUCUGCGUUGUGACCGCAGCAACCCCGGUUCGAAUCCGGGUCACGGCA
rfam:Danio rerio chromosome 4, GRCz11 reference primary assembly.